rnacentral:sRNA from 1 species
UGGUAUUUGUAGAAGUCUUUGUUU